rnacentral:rRNA from 1 species
CCUACGGGUGGCAGCAGUGAGGAAUAUUGGUCAAUGGGCGCGAGUCUGAACCAGCCAUGCCGCGUGCAGGAUGACUGCCCUAUGGGUUGUAAACUGCUUUUGUAAAGGGAUAAACUGAGACACGCGUGCCUUUUUGUAUGUACUUUAUGAAUAAGGAUCGGCUAACUCCGUGCCAGCAGCCGCGGUAAUACGGAGGAUCCGAGCGUUAUCCGGAUUUAUUGGGUUUAAAGGGAGCGUAGAUGGGUUGUUAAGUCAGUGGUGAAAGUUUGCGGCUCAACCGUGAAAUUGCAAUUGAUACUGUCAGUCUAGAGUACAGUUGAGGUAGGCGGAAUGCGUGGUGUAGCGGUGAAAUGCUUAGAGAUCACGAAGAACUCCGAUUGCGAAGGCAGCUUACUAAACUACCACUGACGUUGAUGCUCGAAAGUGUGGGUAGCAAACAGGAUUAGAUACCCUGGUAGUC